rnacentral:rRNA from 1 species
AUUGAACGCUGGCGGCAGGCCUAACACAUGCAAGUCGAACGGCAGCACAGAAGAGCUUGCUCUUUGGGUGGCGAGUGGCGGACGGGUGAGUAAUGUCUGGGAAACUGCCCGAUGGAGGGGGAUAACUACUGGAAACGGUAGCUAAUACCGCAUAACGUCGCAAGACCAAAGUGGGGGACCUUCGGGCCUCACACCAUCGGAUGUGCCCAGAUGGGAUUAGCUAGUAGGUGGGGUAAUGGCUCACCUAGGCGACGAUCCCUAGCUGGUCUGAGAGGAUGAGCAGCCACACUGGAACGGAGACACGGGCCAGACUCCUACGGGAGGCAGCAGUGGGGAAUAUUGCACAAUGGGCGCAAGCCUGAUGCAGCCAUGCCGCGUGUAUGAAGAAGGCCUUCGGGUUGUAAAGUACUUUCAGCGGGGAGGAAGGCGGUGAGGUUAAUAACCUUGCCGAUUGACGUUACCCGCAGAAGAAGCACCGGCUAACUCCGUGCCAGCCGCCGCCGUAA